ensembl:lncRNA
UUCGGCUCUGCCAAAAAAGCCAUAACAGUGAGAAGGCACAUAGUACUUGGUGUGUCACUAAAAGGGAGCUACUUAACACAAUAAAAAGAAAGGAGCAUCGGAAACCAGAGCGAUUUAUUUUUUAAGGACUGAGACGUGUCAAACAACAUACAACUGAAACCACUGGAGGUGCAGCCAUACCGCUGUCAGUCAUCAGUCAGGAGCUGCAGGGAGAGCACUGAGGCAAGGAACAUCACAAGUAUUACAGGCGCAAUGAUUUUAAGCAUUUCCCAGGAGAGCGCAAUGGAUAAAUUGGAAAUAGGAAGGAAAGCCCAAAGUAAUUAGCAAGGAGCAAAGAAAAGGAGCAAGGAGGCCACAAGAAUACGCUCGUAGGCAUGAAAAUCGCUGAGAUGAAAAGGCUGCUAUUUCUGUGAUUACACAUAUUUCUAAACUGAACACAAUAAGCUUACACUGACACAGAUUUUCACCAGUUGUGGCUUGUCUGUAUUGUUGGUGAGUAAAAUGCACACACAACCCCUCUUUCAGCAUGCAAACUGUUGCAUUUGGACAGCAGUGAAGGAGCUGCACCGUUUUGUCAGAGGGGUUAAUGCAAAGACGUACUUCAGGUUUCCUUCCCAAAUAAUCCCAGCGAUUAGCAAAACCCAGCUAACCCUCACUUUGUUAAAAGAGGAAAUAACAGGACGUAUCACUGCUAGCUUUGAGCUCUGGCUUUUUACAGCAGACACUCCCUCCCCAUCCCCGGAGGCAUUCAAGGCCAGGCUGGAUGUGGCUCUGGGCAGCCUGGUAUAGUGGUUGGCAACCCUACACGUAGCAAGGGGGUUGAAACUACAUGAUCAUUGUGGUCCUUCUCAACCCAGGCCAUUCUAUGAUUCUCUGAUACGAUUCUAUGACCAUGACCAGCCAUAUUUUGGUCUUUGUCACGGUGAGGUCCAGCAGAUAAACGCUGCGCACAGAGCGAAGGCUGUUACCAAGCCUGUGAGCAAAUUCCAACCCGGCGACCUAAAUUCCUCCUGCGUUUUCAGCUGGAGACUGGAUCCUCCACUUCCUGCUCUGAAAUUCUUGAAUGAUGUUGUUCAAAUGAGACUUUGACCUUGCAGUACAGAGGAUAAAAAAGUCAGAUAAAACCAAGCACGGCUCCAGGUACUCGGAGAGCAAGUUCCCCGCGUCUGCCGACCUUCUGACCUGUCACAAGGCGUCAUUCCUUACGUUUAAAGGUUUUGUCUCCCUAAAGGCCGCGUAAAGCACCGUGCUUCUAACGGCCUGGCUCUCUGACGGAGCCGUACGUGCGUAGCUCUGCCUUCUCACAGCGCUCGCGCCCCCCUCUCUAGGUGCCGGCCCUGCGGCCUACCGAGGAAGGGAACUGAGAGAGAGCGAGCGGCCGCGUGACGUCAUCAUCCGGGUCUCGCGCGGUCCGCCCGCCGGUCACAAUGGAGACCGCUCGAGCCCAACGGACGUG